GAUGAACGCUGGCGGCGUGCUUAACACAUGCAAGUCGAACGAAGAGCGAUGGAAGCUUGCUUCUAUCAAUCUUCGUGGCGAACGGGUGUGUAACGCGUAUUCAACCCGCCUUUCAGUGGGGGACAACAGUUGGAAACGACUGCUAAUACCGCAUACGAUCUAAUCUCGGCAUCGAGGAUAGAUAAAAGGUGGUCCCGACAUGUAUGCUAUCACUGAAGCGGGGGUUUGCAUCUGAUUAGCUAGUUGGUGAGGUAACGGCCGACCAAGGGGAAGAUCAGUAGGCGGUCGGAGGAGAUGGACGGGCACAAUGGGACUGAGACACCGAUCAGGAUUCUAACGGAGGGAGAAGUGGGGAAUCUUCCGGAAUGGAAGGAAGUCUGACGGAGCCACGCCGCGGUAGUGAUGGCGGCCUUCCGGUUGUUAAGCUCUGUUUAUCAGGACGAAAGGACUUCUUGCGAAAAGAGAGAAGGAUUGACGGUACCGGAAUAGAAAGCCACGGCUAACUACGUG
rnacentral:rRNA from 1 species